rnacentral:rRNA from 1 species
CACUAUGCUUUACCAUAAACAUUGAUAGCCUCCCCCACACUUCCUAUCCGCCCGGGUACUACAAGCACCAGCUUCAAACCCAAAGGACUUGGCGGUGCUUUAGAUCCCCCUAGAGGAGCCUGUUCUAGAACCGAUAAUCCCCGUUAAACCUCACCUUUCCUUGUCACCCCCCGCCUAUAUAUCUCCGUCGCCAGCUUACCCUGUGAAGGCCUCAUAGUAAGUUUAACCGGUGAGUACCACCCCUAACGUCAGGUCGAGAUGUAGCGCAUGGGAAGGGAAGAAAUGGGCUACAUUCCCUAAACAUAGAGAAUACGAAUGAUAAGUUGAAAUGCCUAUCUGAAGGAGGAUUUAGUAGUAAGUAGAAAAUAGAGCGUUCUGCUGAAACCGGCCCUGAAGCGCGCACACACCGCCCGUCACUCUCCCCGAGCUAACCUGUCAACGUAAUUAAAACACUAACACUGCACGAGGGGAGGCAAGUCGUAA